UACAGAAAUGUGUCUGCACUCUGGGA
rnacentral:piRNA from 1 species